GUUCUCGCUUUGGCAGCACAUAUACUAAAACUGGAACGAUACAGAGAGGAUUAGCAUGGCUCCCGUGCAAGGAUGACACACACACAUUCGUGAAGCAUUCCAUAUUUUU